AAAGGGACAAGAAAUCUAAUACCGGAUUUCUUAUCCAGACUUUCGAAACCACAAAAUCAGCCUAUAGUCAUUCUCACCUCAACCAUAAAUCUUCCCAUAAUCUUUAUGGCUUCUUCCUCCUCAAGAACCAUCCUGCAACCUCCCUCACCACCAGAUCUUCCCAACAACCUCACAACCAAACAAGUCACUGACUUUGCCCGGAACAUGAUGUUUCACUAUCUGGCAACUUUUCAACAAACCUUCUCACUACCAA
rnacentral:lncRNA from 1 species